rnacentral:rRNA from 1 species
GCUUGGGAAUAUGCCUUUGAGUGGGGGACAACAGUUGGAAACGACUGCUAAUACCGCAUAAUGUCUACGGACCAAAGGGGGAGUCUUCGAACCUCUCGCUCAUAGAUUAGCCCAACGUGAGAUUAGCUAGUUGGUACGGUAAUGGCGUACCAAGGCGACGAUCUCUAGCUGGUUUGUAGAGGAUGAUCAGCCACACUGGGACUGAGACACGGCCCACGACUCCUACGGGAGGCAGCAGUGGGGAAGUAAUUGCACAAUGGGGGAAACCCGUAGAUGCAGCCAUGCCGCGUGUGUGAAGAA